rnacentral:lncRNA from 1 species
GCCUGUUUCCAAGCUUGGGCUCUUUGGAGUGACUGAGCUACGGAGCUCUUCAGGAGCCUGUGAAUGAACCCUCCUCCUCCUCUCCCUCCUCCUUCUCGCUGAGUCUCCUCCUCGGCUCUGACGGUACAGUGAUAUAAUGACGGUGGGUGUCACAACCCGCAUUUGAACUUGCAGGCGAGCUGCCCCGAGCCUUUCUGGGCGAAGAACUCAAGGAGCGCGGGCGCAGCAGCUGUGAGCAUUAGGUGCUGUGGCCAAGCGCUGGGACAAGGAUCUGCCGCUACCAGCGCAUCCUCUCUCCUCUCCAGCUCUGUCCCGCACUCGCUGCACCCUUCCCCAGGCCACCGCGCUUCCUAUGUGAUCUUCCGGGGCAACGCGGAGCCCUUUCUCACAGCUCAGCAGUGAAUUUCCACCCCGAAAACUGCAGUAAGCCGCCUUUCAAGGUAAUCACUUUUCUUUUGUUCCCCCAUUUAAAAGAAAGAGGGAAAACUUGUUGGGAAAAGAAAACCGUCCAGCUUAGUAGGGGGAAAGACUCACAUUGUAAUUGGAAGAGGGCUUUAAUUAAAGCCAAGAGGACUAGCUGUAAGGCGAAGUUAGAAAAAUGUGCGCACUUUCAAACAUGAAGGUAACUUGUUAAAGAGAUGAAUUCAGAUAGACCUUGGUGCUGAAAAAGAGCUAGACAAAAGAAGUCCGGGGUGGGGUAGAGGAAAAGGACAAACCGAAUAGGGGGAAGGGAUUUUGUAGCGAAAUCCUAGAAAAGUCCUGCUAUCUUGAGUUGGAGGAAUGGAAUGGACUCCUCACACCUUGAUUUUGUUCUCUUUAAAGUGGUCGAGGCAAAAGUUUGAAUGGAGAGUCCCCAAACUUGCCCAAAUGCAAGCCCCUGAAACCACCUUAGGGCAGACCACCUGGUUUCCUGGCUCCGUGUGUGUGGUCAGUAUCUUUGGUUCCUGGAAAGUCACCUCUGGGCAGCUCCUGACAAGGCAGCAGGAUACUUUAGCGGCCCAGGACCUGCACGGACAUGACCCUUUCCCCCAACCCCUCAGGCAAUGUGGGAGGCUAUCUGGCAGGGGUUGGGUAGGGUCCUGGGGCUGCUUUUCUUUGAUGACUUGAGGGCUGUCAAAGCUCUCUCACGUUGCCCCUGUGUUCUUUUGUCCUGCGCGUGGUGCUCCCGAGCCAGCCGGGAAGGCGCAUUGGAUGGGGGUGGGGUUGUUGGAACACCGUAGAGGUCUGGGAGGCUCCUGGGCGGGAAAGCUUUCCCUGAACUGGAGGGGUGUGCAGUAUCUCCCCCCUCGCUCUGGAAAACGAAAUGAAGGCUUGUCCCCCAAUCUUUACUAGCAAACCAGGACCCAUAGAUUCUCCAGACAAAGGUGGCGUGGAGACUCGAGUUGGGGACCAAUUGGUGCAGUCUUCUCGCCUGGAUUACAGCAGUCCUCUGUUCCCUUCUGUAUCUUCAUCCGCUCCCAUUUCUCCACUUGAGUUGAGCAACUUUACGGGCUGGUGGAGUGGUUGUGGAGAGUGCGUGCCGGGUUUCCCCGGGGACGCCCUGGCUGAGAAAGUCCUACUGCCCUGAGUAGGCGUGGGCAUUGCAGAGACUUCUCUAGUGCCUGCAGACCCGGGACAUCCCGGUUGUCUCGGUUUGUUCUCGGUGUCAAUGGGCGUGGACUGCUCAGAGGGGUUAGACAGAAGAAAUAGUGGUAAGAAAAUAAUGUCAUAGCCUAAACUAUUUGCUCUCGGAUCCAACUACGUUCGCCUCCGCAUGUCCUACGUGUUCUCGGGAUCCCGAGGAAAGGGAAAGAAAUCUCCCCCGAGGCUGCAGGGCAAUACUGCCUCAAGUACACCCACAGUGGAGACUCGCUAUCUGUGUUCCCUCAUCUUUGUGUCUCUUUCUCAGUCUCCAUCUUCUCUGUCUUCUCUUUCCCCUUUCUACCUCCUCUGCGCUUUUGCGUCCCCUCCCCCACGGCUCACAAAUGAAUGGCUAGUGUGAAGUCCCUUCCGUCUCUGUCCAAGGAGGCAGGCCCAGAGGGAGGAGCAAGGGCGGGGGGUGGGGGGGGGCGGAGGCGGUGCGCUCCUUAAGAUCUGCUUGCAGUUGGGUGUUUCGGACUAGCAGAACCCAGAUGUCUAGGAAUAGGGAGUUUUGUAGUAGGCGUGGGCUCCCCCUGAUGGAAGAAUUCAGCACAAGCGGAAAAUAGGGCCAGAAAACCACUUUCAUAUCCUUUGGUUCAAAGAGAAGACCCAGUUCUCCUUUAAUAGUCAGUUUUCCACUUCAGAAUCUGGAAAGUGAGUCUUUGGGGUUUGGAGGAGACAAAAAGAAGGGAAUUUGGUCUUCCCCAAAACACGGGCUCCUUUUCUUUCAUCCGCGUGGCUUCCCGCGGCGCUCUGGGAGGCGCCUGCAGCUGGGCGGACUCACAACGCUGGUGACAGAGUCAGGUUUGUAGUUUCCUGACGUGCAAUUUACUCAUCAUUAAGAAAAGUAAUAAAGGCACUUGCUUUGGCAAAUUUCGCUAAGGUCCUUGGUCACAAUGCUAGGACUCUGUUCCAGGCUAUUGUAAAAGAACCCCCCCUCCCCCCACUCCUCAUCCCAAACUUAACUUUCUCAACAUCAGGACAGGCGUUGCACAUGGAAACUGGGAAGAAGGCGGGCGCCUAGAGGCAGAGGAAAAGAGUUUUUCCACUGGGAAAGAGUGGGACAAUGGAGGGUCGGCGGAUAAAGAAAAAAGAAAACGAAACAGAUGGAUGCAAUAGCCAGGAGCCGGAAGAACUCGUUUCGAAAUUUUGUUCUCACUUUCGUGUCUGUUAUGCGGAAAACGAUAAUGAUAGCGAGCGCAUCCUUGCCUGGUGCUGGCCUGGGAAGCAGCUACAGAAACAGAGGUGGUCCGGCCCCGCCUACAGCGGAGAGGGGCUAGCCUCCCCAGCCCCUAAACUCACCCUGGUUUGGAGGAGGGGCCCGGCUAGGCACUCCCUUCAGCGCCGGGGGGUUCGCUAUUCGCCACGUGGGCUGGAGCUUCAGCUCAGUGCGCGAGACGGGUGUGACUUCCUGGGCUCCCAGACAGCUGCACAGCUGCUCGGGCGAGUCGCUUAGCCUAGGUCUCCAGCGGCUGCGGCCAACUGGGGCGGGGCUGGGCUGAACCCGGGUGGGGCCUCGGCUGGCGUGUCUCCUGAGCUCCAAAGGCUAGCUGAAGCUGGAGCGGAUCCAACUUCUAUUAAGAUGGCACCAAAGACUCAAGUUAAAAGCCGUUAAAAUACUGUUUUCUCUUGCUUUUUUGGGGAAGUGAUAUGCAAGUACAGGGUUUUUGCUUUAAAAGGAGGAAAAGUGAUGAUUUAUUCUAAGUCAAAUCUUGGCAUGAAAAUGAGACAAAUUUGCGAUUGCUCCAUGCAUUCGUUUUGAAAUACAUUUACAUUCCUAAAGACCACAUUUAGCCAGAGACAAAAUUAAUUCUGCUGUAAUUGAGUAUCAACCAGGAUCAUUAGAGUGGGCAGGAAAGGGCAGGGGGUAGGUGUCUAGCACAAGUUGACCAAAUGGCUGAUAAAGAGCUGGGUUGGCAGCUGCAGCGUUUAGGGGUUGGGUGGGGGAGGGGAGAGCGCUGCGGUUGGUCUCAUGAUUUAGACUGGACCCUGCUACUAAGGUCUUCACUGUAAAUUCUCCAGCUUCUAAUUCGGAAAAGCUAGGUUUUAAUGAUCCUCUCUCCCACCUUAAAUUCUGUUUAUAAGUGGUCCAUUAUCGUGGUUUUUGUUUUUUGUUUUUUUCCUUUCUUCUUCUCUCUAAAAGCUAUGGCCUAAAUUGUGCUAAGUACUGGUUGGCAACUGUGUCAAACUAAGAAAACAUUCACAUAAAAGCCUAAAAUGAAAUGUUCUGGAUUUAAUAGGAAAACAUUAGUGGAAGUAUCAGAUAGUUGUCUGAGGUGGAGCGGAUUACCAUUUGUAAGAGGAACAUAGCAAGGAGGGGGUCCCAAAGCACCUGAGUUCUAGUUCUGAGUCACAAUGUAAUAAAGGAAUACUUGACAAAUUGCAUCUGCAUGUCCCCACGAAUGCUACAAAGGGUUCCAAUAGAUUCCCAAGCAGUUGAGCAAUUACUUCCUCCAGCAGGAAGUCCACAGUCCUUAAUCUUCUUGUGGGUGGUAGAAAGGAUGGGAUUCAAGAGCAUCACUUAGAAUUUAUGUAAGAGUUCAAAGUUUGCUUUUUCUUGGUGGUUUGAAAAUUUAAGCCUCUUUAUAAUAAGUCUUAUUUCCUUCCUU